rnacentral:rRNA from 1 species
UACGUAGGUGGCAAGCGUUACUCGGAAUCACUAGGCGUAAAGCGCAGGUAGGCGGUUUGAUAAGUCUGUUGUGAAAGCUCCUGGCUCAACUGGGAGAGGUCAACGGAAACUGUCAAGCUAGAGUGUGGUAGAGGAAACUGGAAUUCCUGGUGUAGCGGUGAAAUGCGUAGAUAUCAGGAGGAACACCUAUGGCGAAAGCAGGUUUCUGGGCCAUCACUGACGCUGAGCUGCGAAAGCUAGGGGAGCAAACAGG